rnacentral:sRNA from 1 species
ACUCUGGCGGUUGGUGAGCAUCAUGGCAACCGUUACAGCCACAACCAAAGUCCCGGAGAUCCGUGAUGUAACAAGGAUUGAGCGAAUCGGUGCCCACUCCCACAUCCGGGGACUGGGGCUGGACGAUGCCUUGGAGCCUCGGCAGGCUUCGCAGGGCAUGGUGGGUCAGCUGGCGGCACGGCGGGCGGCCGGCGUGGUGCUGGAGAUGAUCCGGGAAGGGAAGAUUGCCGGGCGGGCAGUCCUUAUUGCUGGCCAGCCGGGCACGGGGAAGACGGCCAUCGCCAUGGGCAUGGCGCAGGCCCUGGGCCCUGACACGCCAUUCACAGCCAUCGCCGGCAGUGAAAUCUUCUCCCUGGAGAUGAGCAAGACCGAGGCGCUGACGCAGGCCUUCCGGCGGUCCAUCGGCGUUCGCAUCAAGGAGGAGACGGAGAUCAUCGAAGGGGAGGUGGUGGAGAUCCAGAUUGAUCGACCAGCAACAGGGACGGGCUCCAAGGUGGGCAAACUGACCCUCAAGACCACAGAGAUGGAGACCAUCUACGACCUGGGCACCAAGAUGAUUGAGUCCCUGACCAAGGACAAGGUCCAGGCCGGGGACGUGAUCACCAUCGACAAGGCGACGGGCAAGAUCUCCAAGCUGGGCCGCUCCUUCACACGCGCCCGCGACUACGACGCUAUGGGCUCCCAGGUGCGGCCGGGACUCCCGGGAUCCCCUCGCCCCCAGUACUGGGGUGUUUUCAUCUCCUCCAUCACCCCCUUGACCCAUGGGGUCUGGAUCUUCCUGUUACCCUGACUGUUUGUCCUGGUACUCCUGGGUCUUCCCUGUAACCCUAGGACAGCAGGGCCCCUCAGCCUGGCACUAUAGCUUCGCAUGGCCACAUGUGGCCUGUGGCUUCUAAGGUCCUCCGGGAGCCCCCGUGACCCUCAGCGCUCUGGAAUGUCCCUAGUCCUGACUACCUCCU